rfam:Clostridium sp. CAG:356 genomic scaffold, scf40
CCAAAAAUAAAAUAUAAGCCAAAGACAGUAGGCAUUUAUAAGUCCUACCGAGGUAUAUAAGUUUGAAUAUAAAGCAAUCUUUAUGCCUCGAAAUUGGUGUAAAGAUUUUUAUUAUAUAUU